UACGUAGGGGGCAAGCGUUGUCCGGAAUCAUUGGGCGUAAAGCGCGUGUAGGCGGUUCGGUAAGUCUGCUGUGAAAGUCCAGGGCUCAACCCUGGGAUGCCGGUGGAUACUGUCGGACUAGAGUACGGAAGAGGCGAGUGGAAUUCCCGGUGUAGCGGUGAAAUGCGCAGAUAUCGGGAGGAACACCAAUUGCGAAGGCAGCUCGCUGGGACGUCACUGACGCUGGGACGCGAAAGCGUGGGGAGCAAACAGG
rnacentral:rRNA from 1 species